rnacentral:rRNA from 1 species
UUUGACCACCGUUUCGGCAUGCCGAUUUAGCCUGCUAGUCGCACGAGUUCANACUCGUGGCGNAUAGCUCANUAACACGUGGCCAAACUANNUNUUCGGAACACAAUACCCUCGGGAAACUGAGGCUAAUAGUGUAUACCACAGUCCACCUGGAAUGAGGACUGUGCCAAACGCUNNGGCGCCGAAGGAUGUGGCUGCGGCCGAUUAGGUAGACNGUGGGGUAACGGUCCACCGUGCCAAUAAUNGGUNCGGGUCAUGAGAGUGAGAACCCGGAGACGGAAUCUGAGACAAGAUUNCGGGCUCUACGGGGCGCANCAGGCGCGAAACCUUUACACUGCACGACAGUGCGAUAAGGGAAUCCCAAGUGCGUAGGCAUAGAGCCUACGCUUUUGUCCACCGUANGGAGGUGGACGAAUAAGGGCUGGGCAAGACCGGUGCCAGCCCGNCGNGGUAAUACCGGCAGCCCGAGUGAUGGCCGAUCUUAUUGGGCCUAAAGCGUCCGUAGCUGGCCGNNCAAGUCUAUCGGAAAAUCCACCCGCUNAACGGGUGGGCGUCCGGUAGAAACUGCGUGNNUUUGGGACCGNAAGGCNCCGACNGGUACCUUNCGGGUAGGAGUGAAAUCCUCUAAUC